GACGAACGCUGGCGGCGUGCUUAACACAUGCAAGUCGAACGGAAAGGCCCUGCUUUUGUGGGGUGCUCGAGUGGCGAACGGGUGAGUAACACGUGAGUAACCUGCCCUUGACUUUGGGAUAACUUCAGGAAACUGGGGCUAAUACCGGAUAGGAGCUCCUGCUGCAUGGUGGGGGUUGGAAAGUUUCGGCGGUUGGGGAUGGACUCGCGGCUUAUCAGCUUGUUGGUGGGGUAGUGGCUUACCAAGGCUUUGACGGGUAGCCGGCCUGAGAGGGUGACCGGCCAAAUUGGGACUGGGAUACGGCCCAGACUCCUACGGGGGGCAGCGGUGGGGAAUAUUGCAAAAGGGGGGGAAGCCUGAUGCAGCAACGCCGGGGGCGGGAGGAGGGCCUUGGGGUUGUAACCCGCUUUCCCCUGGGACGAAGCGUGAGUGACGGUAAUGGGUAAAGAAGCACCGGCUAACUACGU
rnacentral:rRNA from 1 species